rnacentral:rRNA from 1 species
CGUAAGGCGCCGAAUGAGUCAUUAAAAAAAUUAACAUCAUCCGAUCCCUAGUCGGCAUAGUUUAUGGUUAAGACUACGACGGUAUCUGAUCGUCUUCGAUCCCCCUAACUUUCGUUCUUGAUUAAUGAAAACAUCCUUGGCAAAUGCUUUCGCAGUAGUUAGUCUUCAAUAAAUCCAAGAAUUUCACCUCUGACAAUUGAAUACUAAUGCCCCCAACUAUCCCUAUUAAUCAUUACAUCGAUCCUAGAAACCAACAAAAUAGAAUCGGAUGUCCUAUUUCAUUAUUCCAUGCUAAUGUAUUCAAGCGUGAGCCUGCUUUAAACACUCUAAUUUUUUCAAGGUAACAGUCCUAAUUCCCCGUAACACCAAAUUAAUGGCAUUACGGUUCUUUAGAAGGUGAGAAAUCAAUGAUAACAGUGCAUACCAACGGCAUGACCGAAAUAUUGAUCCCGAAAUUCAACUACGAGC